rnacentral:rRNA from 1 species
AACGAACGCUGGCGGCAGGCUUAACACAUGCAAGUCGAGCGCCUCGCCAGAGGAGCGGCCGACGGGUGAGUAACGCGUGGGAACGUACCCUUAUCUUCGGAAUAGCUCUGGGAAACUGGAAGUAAUACCGAAUGUGCCCUUAGGGGGAAAGAUUUAUCGGAUAAGGAUCGGCCCGCGUUGGAUUAGCUAGUUGGUGGGGUAAAGGCCUACCAAGGCGACGAUCCAUAGCUGGUCUGAGAGGAUGAUCAGCCACAUUGGGACUGAGACACGGCCCAAACUCCUACGGGAGGCAGCAGUGGGGAAUAUUGGACAAUGGGCGCAAGCCUGAUCCAGCCAUGCCGCGUGAGUGAUGAAGGCCUUAGGGUUGUAAAGCUCUUUCACCGGAGAAGAUAAUGACGGUAUCCGGAGAAGAAGCCCCGGCUAACUUCGUG